rnacentral:misc_RNA from 1 species
GGAAGUAAAUCGUAACAAGGUUCCCGUAGGUGAACCUGCGGAAGGAUCAUUAUUGUAUAACCGAGGUGCGAGGGCUGUCGCUGACCCGAAAGGUCGUGCACGCCCGAGUGCCCUCACACACAUCCAUCUCACCCCUAUGUGCACCGCCGCGUGGGUCCCCCUUUGGCUUGUUCGGAGGGGGGCUUACGUUUUCACACAAACUUUGUAUGCAGUGUAGAAUGUAUUUUUUGUUUUUGCGAUCACGCAAUCAAUACAACUUUCAACAAUGGAUCUCUUGGCUCUC